rnacentral:rRNA from 1 species
UACAGAGGGGGCAAGCGUUGUUCGGAAUUACUGGGCGUAAAGGGCGCGUAGGCGGCCUUCUAAGUCGAACGUGAAAUCCCUGGGCUCAACCCAGGAACUGCGUCCGAUACUGGAAGGCUUGAAUCCGGGAGAGGGAUGUGGAAUUCCAGGUGUAGCGGUGAAAUGCGUAGAUAUCUGGAGGAACACCGGUGGCGAAGGCGGCAUCCUGGACCGGUAUUGACGCUGAUGCGCGAAAGCCAGGGGAGCAAACGGG